UGGGUGGCAAGCUCCGGUGCUCAGGUAUGAACCCGCGCCUAUCAGCUUGUUGGUGGGGUAAUGGCCUACCAAGGCGACGACGGGUAGCCGGCCUGAGAGGGCGACGGCCACACUGGGACUGAGACACGGCCCAGACUCCUACGGGAGGCAGCAGUGGGGAAUAUUGCACAAUGGGCGAAAGCUUGAUGCAGCGACGCCGCGUGAGGGAUGACGGCCUUCGGGUUGUAAACCUCUUUCAGCAGGAAGAAGCGCAAGUGACGAUACCUGCGGAGAAGACCUGCUAACUACGUGCCAGCAGCGCGGUAAUACGUAGGUGCGAGCGUUGUCCGAAUUAUUGGCGUAAAGAGCUCGUAGCGGCUGUCCGUCGAUGAAAGCCGGGUUAACCCGGUCUGCAUCGAUACGUCAGCUGGAGUGAGUAGCGAGAUCGGAAUUCCUGGUGUAGCGUGAAUCGCAGAUAUCAGGGAGG
rnacentral:rRNA from 1 species